GGAUGUGAAGGCAAUCUGGCUGUGACAUCUGUCACCCCAUUUAUUGCCAGGGUUGAUUUGGCUGAUCUGGAUGGUUAGGCUAGUGCCCCCUCUUCCCUCACUACUCCAAUGUGCUUCCCUCCUGAAGAGGCGUGCUCAGGUCGAAGGGGAUGACCUGUCCGGAAUAGAGGAGGACCAGUCAUUGGUCAAGGGUAUACAAGUAGUUGCACUCCCCUGCUAGACUCUACAAACAAGCUCUCAAGGUCCAAGUGUGACUGAAUGCAAUAGGUUCACACCCUGGUGAGUACAAAGCCCAACCA
ensembl:misc_RNA 7SK 7SK RNA